UUCAUUUUGUAAUUUUGAAAGGAAGGAAAUAACCCUAAAAAAUAAAACUUUUCUUCUUCUCUACUGACAGCAGCCCCCCUUUUGGGAAAUUUUUUCUCUGCACACAGCCCCGGUGAUUUUGAGUUUUCAGACCCGGCUGUUUCAACACCGGCCCCUCUCCAUUUUUGAUCUUCUUCUCGUCCAAAACCAAACACACAGCCCCCACCUGGUUUCAAUUUUUUUUUAGUCGGCUGCGAGAGAAGCCUUCCUCCCUCACGGAUCCAAAACCAGCCACUGUUCAGACAAUUCCAGAAGCGUUCCUAUGCAAUUCCUGGAGUUUUGGGGGACUAUUUUGUAAAUUUUAAAUUAAUUCAUGUAAUUUUUAUUUUGUUGUUUGGAAUUUGUAUUGUAUAAAUGUUAAUGUAAAAGAAAAAAAAGGAAGAAAAAGAAAGAACGAAAUAUAUAAUAAAAAAUGCAUGUGUACAUUUGUUUUAUGAAUUUUUUUUAUGAUAAAAUUGCAAGAAUAAAGAAGGAUUUAAUAUUUUGAUUGGAUCACGGUGUAGAAGUACAAACUUGUACGGAAGUUGUAUUUCUAAAAUCCGAUGAAAUGACAAAAUUUUUAAAACUUCUUUAACACAUCAAGUCCACGAAGCAG
rnacentral:lncRNA from 1 species